CAAAAAAGUUUGUUUGGGUUUUCCCAUAAGAUUUCAUGGAAAAAACCAAAUGAACUUUUUGGUCAACCCAAU
rnacentral:miRNA from 1 species